rnacentral:rRNA from 1 species
GGUGAUGGUGGGGCAGCGGGCGGGUGAAGACGGGGGGGGCGGGUGGUGUGUGGAGUUAUUGGGCGGAAAGCGCGGUUAGGAGGGUUUGCAAGUCGGGGGGGAAAGCCCGCAGCUCAAGUGAGGAAGGGCGCCCGAAACGGCAGAGGUUGAGUACCGGAGAGGAUGGCGGAAUUCCCCAAGUAGAGGUGAAAUUCGUAGAUAUGGGGAGGAACACCGGUGGCGAAGGCGGCCAUCUGGACGGAUACUGACGCUGAGACGCGAAAGCGUGGGGAGCAAACAGGAUUAGAUACCCUGGUAGUC